rnacentral:lncRNA from 1 species
UAGAUCCAAUCUUCAGAGUGUGAUGGGCACAUAUCCUCAUGACCUUUUCAAGUCGGCCACAAUUUCAUGCCAUCUCAUCAAAAGGCUCAACAUCUGAUCCGAGAUGUCUAUGCUCACGGGAAAGAUGAGCAACCAUUCACGUGAUUAUUGAUGAUGCUCUUUGCCACAAUCUGCUCUGUGCUUGUACUUUCUUGCCCACCCGACAUAGAUUUGACAUGGGGUGUCUCAUUAUGAACAAUGGUAGCCCCAUCAUCCAGAUGCUUCUUCAGACAUGAUUUUGGCUGGACACUUGGGUGCCACAAUUGAUGCCGAGGCGCAAUAGACCUUGGUUUUGUUGAUUCACCAGUUGUCACUUGCUUCUUCACCCGUGGAGCUUCAUUAGGGACUUUAACAACAAGCUACUUGUCCAGUCAAAGAAGUGCCGAGGAUGAAGCUUCCGGGGCUUGCAAGUAAUAUUCUACUUCCAUAUUGCCAAAUAGGGGUCUGUUUUUAACCGCAUGAGCAAAUGCUGCCUCAGCGUCAGAUUUGCAUUUGAACCGAACCUGGCAGGUUGAGGAUCUCCAGAACACGCAAGGAGGAGAAUGAAGCUGUCCGAAACGUGCACAACUUGCUUUCAGCUAAACAGAGGGCAAAGCUGAUUGACUCGAGAAUUGUAUCACUAUCAUUUUGGGCUCCCUGAACUUUCUUGAAGUAUCACGCUUCUUCUGCGAAUACUUUCUCCGUUUUUCCUGGACUUUCAAGCUCAUCCGCGCACCCCUUCUCAGAGGUUUUUCAAGUUUCCUAUCGCCAGCCUCUGUCUUUUCUUCACUCAACAAUUUCAGCUCAUUCAAUCUUUUUGGUUCUUCCACAGACAUUUGUUCAGGACCUGUAAUGCUGCCGGUUAGUCCCGCAUUUCUAUAAUCGUCAGCUUUGAGCCGUUUUUUUGGGGGCCUUUAAAGCAGAAGGCAGGUCUUGAGCAGUCCUGCUGUUAGGACUCUUAGCAGCCAUACCACAGACCAUUGACUUAGUGGGACAACUUUCAAUUGUUCCAGACUCUGCUGCUGGGAUGACAGCCACUUCACAUAGACGACAGAUCUGUAUUCCAGGAAGAACUGCAGCAUGGUUGCGGGGAUAUUUUGUCGCACACUUUGAAAUGGAUUAUGAGCAAGAGCUGACAGAUAAUCAAGUAACUGAGAAUGUUUGCUAUUAACUUGUAAACCAUCUAUCUUCUCUCUAGCCUUGAAAUUUGAGGAAAAGGUGCCACAGGCUCCUUCGCCUGAUUCUCUUUUUACCUUUUUAUGACCAUUGUCCCAAUAUAUACAAUGAGUGUAACAUAUAGGUUGAAUUAUUUGCAAGCAAAUAGCAGCCCUUGCAAGAGCCAAUGUCAGAUUGAAGCAUUCGUCACAAGGACAAGCUCGAUCUAUUAUUAUUGUAAUUAAAGAGGCAUCGAUGAUACCUAUAUUUCAUUAAUAUAUAUAUAUAUAUAUAUAUAUACAUACAUAAUAUGGAGAAGUUUGCACAGCAGAGUCUGUCCCCCUGUUGAGUGAACCCACUACUCACUCAAAAUCACCUUUUGUUUGCUGCUCUAACAGUCCUUUUCACUUCAAUUAAACAUAUUUAAUAAUUCGCAAAUUGAAUUGCACAGAUUAUUAUUAGAUUAAAGAAGCUAUUUGUAUGUUCAUAAUUUAUUGGUCCAAUAAAGUCAUAAUAAAUACAUUUUCACCAAUCAACCACCAUUUCAGUCGAUAGGCGCUGCUCACGUCUUUCAAGCAACAAUCUUCCGUCAUUGGGUACUCCAUCAUUAUCAUGUAUAUGAGUGAGACUCUUAUUAAUUAUCACUUUCCAUGUAAAAGAAUAAACAAACACUCAUUGAUUUUUUUCUCUUUUCGCAUUUCAAGAGUGAAAAACAUAUGCAAGCAAACAGAAGCACGCAGUGCAAAUUUUGGAAUGCCAGUACCACCCACGCUUGUCAAUGCUGCACGUGAGGAGCAGUUGGGCCUAAAUGCAGUCCAAAUGGGCCCCUAAUGAAUGAAAAAAGUGGGACCACUUGCAUUUUACCAACUCUAAAAGCGACCCGCUUUGUCCAAUCACGAAGGCCCAUAUGAGACAAUAGCUAACCACCACCACCACCUCGCUAGAGCAACCACUGCGUGGAGAGUUUUCGUAAAUGAAAAUUAAAAAAAAAAAAUUUAAAAAAAUUCAGUUGAAUGCUAUCUAGUGUCUAUAUAUAUGUAUAUGCAAUUGAAUCUGGUUAAGUUGAAAAUUAGAUUUUGGUGAAAGCCAAUGAAUGGUCUAUCAAUUAUUAAUAAUGAGAAAGUGAUAAGUAUCCAAUUCUUGUUACACCAAGUAAUGGAAUCUAUUUAAUAAGCAUGGAAGCUAGCGAUCGAUAUUUGAUCAUUUGGGUUUUGGUUUAAAUGAUCAUAAGUAAUGACUCCACCGAACAGGGACCACUAAAUAAUAUGAAAUGUGGUACCAACCCUUAACCUUAAUUGCACAAAUGAACUUAAAUUAUGACGGAUUGAGACCGUUUAACAAAUAUUUUUAUUGUCUUAACCUUGCUACGACCGAUAUAACUAACACGGAAGUGGGGUUCAUGUCUUAACCUUGAAUUGUUUGAAGUGGGGUUCAUGUCUGGGUAUUUAAAAAGUUCAAAAAAUUCUUCACACACAAAUCUAUUUCUUGGUUUGGCUUGUUUGACUGUUUGAGAGAGGGGGGGAAAAAAAUUGACAGCACCGAGUUACAGCUGAAGAGAAUAUUCCAUGUACAUCAUAGGAAAGAUUGAUGGAAUGUUUUACAUGAAGUCUGUCAAAUACUUGGAUAGUGGCUUUUUUAUUAUUAAUUAUAUAUAUUUACAUAUAAGUCAAAUUCGAUUGUACAUGAAUUAACGGAGUGAGUCAUGCGACAGCAAUGUUUACUAUGUGUAAUAAUCUAUUAUAUCAAACAAAUAGGUCGUGUAGUGAAGAAAAAUGGUAAUCAAAUUAGUUACUCAAAAGGUCACGAUUCCACAAAUCAAAUAAUCAACCUCACCUGACAUGGAGUUGAAGUGCGGUUCAUGUUUGGUUCUGUCAAGUGGUAGACAAAAGUUUUUGGUUUAUAUGAAAGGGAUCCUAAAUCAGAAUAUCAAUGAGAAUGAGAUCCAAGUAAAUUUCACGUGUGGCACAUUCACAGAUGUUGGAAGAGUCUGGUUUCACACAAUGUCAGCAAGAAAAUUCAUUUUACAAGAAUCCAUCGGUUGCCGAGGGUCGUCACUUUUGCUGACAUAAUUCUCAACGUUAAAUUUUUGUUUUUUUUCCUGCUACUGUUUAUUGCCUUUUCUGUAUUGGUUUACAAAGAAAGCAUCAUUGUCACUUCGAGGAGGAGUUGACACAAAAAGAAUUCAAACAAAAUAUGGUGGCUGAUGAAACCCCAUGACCCCUUUAGAAUAAUUGCUUUAAACUUGAAGCAACUUUAACAAUUGUCCGCAAUUUAAUUAAGUUAAAAGUGCAAAAGCAAAAUAUUCUUAUCGUUCGACAUUUUAUUCUUUAGAUGCAAACGCAAUUUUUGCAGAAAGUAACAAACUAAGUAAAACUCAAAAUUCUAUUAACGGUGCAUUUGAUAUUGAGGUUGGAUUUUUGUAAUUUAAGUUACAACACUAAAGUGUUUGGUAAAUAUAGUUUGGAAGCUGCGUUGAUAUGAUUUUUUACUGGUAUAAUAGAAAAUCUAUUAUAUCUUUAAUAAUUUUGUCAAAAUCAUUAUUUAAAAUUUAUAUUUACUACUUGUUGUUAAUUUUUGUUUCCUAAUUAUAGUUUUUUUUUCUAUAACAACUGUAAUUUAAAAGUUAUAUCACCUAAAUUCUAAUUAGGACCUAAGAGAACAUAAAAUAUAAAAAGUAAAAAUUCCCAAAAAUCUCCUCCAUCAAAAUUAAGUAGCAGUAGAAAUAAUAUCCUAUCAUAAAACCCAAAACAUUCCUCCAAACAAACCCAACCCCAACCCCCCCCCCCCCCCCCCCCUUUCACAUUCCUCCUUCAUAUUGUAGUCAUUCUCUCAUAUGCAUUCUGUGUCAACAAAUUAAAUCAUUCUAAUUAUAGAUAAAAUUUUACUUUAAACUUCAAGCAACUUUAAAAAUUGUCCGCAAUUUAAUUAAGUUCAAAGUGCAAAAGCACAACAUUCUUAUCGUUCCACAUUUUAUUCAUUAGCUUUUUCAAGAAUUAACAAAGUAAAACAUAAGAUCCUACUAAGAGAAUAUAAGAUAUAAAAAGUGAAAAUCCCCAAAAUCUCCUCCAUUACCAUAAAAAAUGAUAUCUUAAAAACCUCAAACAUUCUUCCGCACAAACCCAGCUCCAAACCCCAUUCCCCACGUUAUUCUUUAAUAUUAUAGUCAUUCUCUCAUAUGCAUUCGUGUCAAAAAAUUAAAACAUUCUAACUAUAGAUAAAAUUUUGCGACUUAGGCUCCCAAACCAAAACCAAACCUUAACUUAUUGACAUCCAACGGAUAAUCUCACUUGAGGUUCAUUCACAUACAAUACUUUUCAAGAGCCUAGUUUGGUUUGCCUCAAUGGUAGCAAGAAAUUUUAGAGACAAGAUUGAACAAGCACCCAUCAUUUAAUCCUAAGUGCUAUAGUUAAGUUCAUAACAUUGCCAUUUUUAUUCAUGUGUGUAGAGAACAAAAAGAAUUCAGAGGCCCAAGCGAAAGCAACAAUAUCACUUCAAGAAGGAUCCCAACAACGGCCAUAACAGCACCCCAUGGCCCCUUCAGAAUAGUGAAGUAAUAAACUUGAAAGCUGCUUUAAAAAUUUCCCAUUUAUGUAGUACAUAGAUCACAAAAUUUGAGUGUACAUAAACAUUAAAUCGCUCAUUUUCAUUGACAACCAUUAAAGUGCAAAGCAAAAUAUUCUAUAUGUACAUUCCACAUUUUAUUCUUAAUGUACGUAAGGAAAAGCUAAUAUAUAUAACAAAGAGAAAAGUAAAAUCCAAAAUAACUAAGUCCAAAUACCAUAUGGUAUUUAAAAAAAAAAGUAGUCAAAAUACCGUAAUAAUAAUAAUAAACUAUUAAACUAUCUAAAAAAUUAGCAGAAAAUAAAAUUCAAAAAUCAAAAUCUCCUCCGAAGUCUCCUCCAAAAUCUCCAUCAUAAUCAGCAGCAUUAGAGACAAUAUCUCCAAUUAAAAGCCCACCAAGCAUUCCGCCAAGCAAUCCAGUUCCAAAUCCCAGUCCCCCAUUACUCUUCUUCUGUGGCUUCACAGGCGGGUACCCGUAUCCCUAUUGUGGCGGUGGAGGCGAGUACCCGUAUCCCUGUUGUGGUGCAGGCGGGUACCCGUAUCCCUGUUGUGGCGGUGGAGGCAGGUACCUGUAUCCCGGUUGUUGUGGUGGGUAUGCACCAUUCGGCGCCGCUCCUUGAGGGGGUUGUGGUGGGUAACCGUUCCUUGCCUGAGGCAGCGAGGGGUAAGCGUGAGCCAUCGGCGCCGGAUAAGCAGUCACGGGCUCGCCGGCCUUGGCGUGCUUUUUCCCAACGGUGGGUUCAUUGAACUUGUACGAGAAGUGUAACUCGCCCUUGGGUUUUUCCAACGACGAGCGGACUUGGUAAGUAACGAACUUCAUCGAUAUAGCGUCUCCCGAGGAGGAGGAGGAGGAGGAAUCCAAGAGCUCCUCGUAUCCCUGUUGUGGCGAUGGAGGCGGGUACCCGUAUCCCUGUUGUGGCGGUGGAGGCGGGUGCCCGUAUCCCGGUUGUUGCGGUGGGUAUGCACCAUUCGGCGCCGCUACUUGAGGGGGUUGCGGUGGGUAAUCGUACCCUGCCUGAGGUUGUGGGGGGUAAGCGUAAGGCACAAAGCUCGAUCCGGCUGCCAUCUGUGCCAGAUAAGCAGUCACGGGCUCGUCGGCCUUGGCGUGCGUUUUCCCGAUGGUGGGUUCACUGAACUUGUACGAGAAGUGUAACUCGCCCUUGGGUUUUUCCGACGACGAGCAGACUUGGUAAGUAACGAACUUCAUCGAUUUGGCGUCUCCCGAAGAGGAGGAGGAGGAAUCCAAGAGCUCUUUGAUCGGGAUGAUUACUUCGCCGACAGUUUUAUCGCCGAGUAAGCCGUCGCUCUUGAUCUUGAAAUCGAGCGUGAGGCGAUUCUGCUGGGCCAAGGACUCGUUGAAGGUGAACUUAAUCGGGAAAUUCCACGUGGGGUUUGAUCCGCCGGAUGGGUCCGCCUGCGUCUUGACUUUCUGUUUCUUGAUGGUGUGGUCGCCCGAGAUCGAAACGACGGCAUACACUUCCAUCUUGGAGAUGAAGUGGACAUCUUUGAGGUGUUUUGCGGAGAUCACGUUGAGAUCUAAAGCUCUGUAAGAGACCAUAAUUGCUAAUAACUUUUGAGAGAACUGAAGAUUUUUCAAAAGAUCACUUUCUGCGAAUUGAGAAAAUUAGCGGAGGCUAUAACACGAUAUGGUGUAUUUAUACCGUCAAUGCGGACUUAUCCUCCGGCCUUUGUAAAAUACCAAGGAAAAGCAACAAAGUCCGCGUCAACGCGUUUGGUUGGGAACUGUAAGGCGGGCGGCUACAUUCUCCUGUAAGGCCAAGGCACCUGCCUUCCCAUUGUAAAUCAUAAGAAUUGGUCAACGUCACACCAAUAGGACGCGGUCGGAGUUUUGAUAUUCUUUUCCUAUCAUAGAAUUUCUAGAUUACAAUCACGAUAACGAUUGCUUUUGCGUACCAAUGAUGGAUUCAUAUUACCAACUUUCUUAGAGCAUCUCCAAAAGCCUCUAUAAAUUUUACUCUUUAAAUACUUAUUUGCUUACCUAUGUGGCAAAUAGAAGGGUGAAAAAAUAUGAUAUUCUCCAAAAGACUCAUCAAAUAAAAAUAAGUUAAUAUUAUUUUAAUCAAAUAAUUAUUUUUUUAAAGGAAAAGUCAAUAGUAAUUAAAGCACUUCUCUCUCUUUCUUCAAUGAAAAGUAAUAAAAUAUAAAUUGAAGAGGGAGAAAUCAACUCUCCAAAUUUGAAGAGAGAGAAUCAUUUCUUAUUUGAAGAAUCUUAAUUGGAAUGUCUUUUGGAGCCUUAAAUAUUGAGGUGGCUCUUCAAAUAAUUAAUAAAAUCUUAUUUGAAGAGUCUUUUGAUGAUGCUCUUAGCUCCCAAGUAAUUCACAUCAGUCUUAAACUUUAAUUUGCUAUGUGUAUAUUAACUUCCUAAUAAAUAUCAUAGGUGCCUAGAUCCAAUCUUCGGAGUGUGAUGGGCACAUAUCCUAAUGACUUUUUCAAGUCGACCACAGUUUCAUGCCAUCUCAUCAAAAGGCUCAACAUCUGAUCCGAGAUGUCUAUGCUCUGGCUGCUGCUGCAGCUGGCAUCAGGACAGUUGUUCGUUGCCUCAGGUUGAACCUUUUUUUAGAUCUUUGCAUUGGUGUUGAUAGUUUCACGGGAAAGAUGAGCAACCAUUCACGUGAUUAUUGAUGAUGCUCUUUGCCACAAUCUGCUCUGUGCUUGUACUUUCCUGCCCACCCGACAUAGAUUUGACAUGGGGUGUCUCAUUAUGAACAAUGGUAGCCCCAUCAUCCAGAUGCUUCUUCAGACAUGAUUUUGGCUGGCUACUUGGGUGCGACAAUUGAUGCUGAGGUGCAAUAGACCUUGGUUUUGUUGAUUCACCAGUUGUCACAUGCUUCUUCACCCGUGGAGCUUCAUUAGGGACGUUAACGACAAGCUACUUGUCCAGUCAAAGAAGUGCCGAGGAUGAAGCUUCCGGGGCUUGCAAGUAAUAUUCUACUUCCAUAUUGCCAAAUAAUAGGGGUCUGUUUUUAACCGCAUGAGCAAAUGCUGCCUCAGCGUCAGAUUUGCAUUUGAACCGAACCUGGCAGGUUGAGGAUCUCCAGAACACGCAAGGAGGAGAAUGAAGCUGUCCGAAACGUGCACAACUUGCUUUCAGCUCCGAAACAGAGGGCAAAGCUGAUUGACUCGAGAAUUGUAUCACCAUCAUUUUGGGCUCCCUGAACUUUCUUGAAGUAUCGCGCUUCUUCUGUGAAUACUUUCUCCGUUUUUCCUGGACUUUCAAGCUCAUCCGCGCACCUCUUCUCAGAGGUUUUUCAAGUUUCCUAUCGCCAGCCUCUGUCUUUUCUUCACUCAACAAUUUCAGCUCAUUCAAUCUUUUUGGUUCUUCCACAGACAUUUGUUCAGGACCUGUAAUCCUCCCACAUUUCUAUAAUCGUCAGCUUUGAGCGGUUUUUUUGGGGGGCUUUAAAGCAGAAGUCAGGUCUUGAGCAGUCCUGCUGUUAGGACUCUUAGCAGCCAUACCACAGACCAUAGACUUAGUGGGACAACUUUCAAUUGUUCCAGACUCUGCUGCUGGGAUGACAGCCACUUCACAUAGACGGCAGAUGUGUAUUCCAGGAAGAACUGCAACAUAGUUGCAGGGAUAUUUUGUCGCACACUUUUAAAUGGAUUAAGAGCAAGAGCUGACAGAUAAUCGAGUAACUGAGAAUGUUUGCUAUUAACAUGU